rnacentral:rRNA from 1 species
UGCCAGCCGCCGCGGUAAUACGAAGGGUGCUAGCGUUGUUCGGAAUUACUGAGCGUAAAGAGCAUGUAGGCGGAUGAAUUAGUCAGAGGUGAAAGGCCCCGAGCUCAACUUGGGAACUGCCUUGAUACUGUUUAUCUAGAGUCCGAGAGAGGUUAGUGGAAUUCCCAGUGUAGAGGUGAAAUUCGUAGAUAUUGGGAAGAACACCAGUGGCGAAGGCGGCUCUCUGGUCCAUACCUGACGCUGAGGCGCGAAAGCGUGGGGAGCGAACAGGAUUAGAUA